GUCGAGAAUCUUUCACAAUGGGGGCAACCCUGAUGGAGCGACGCCGCGUGGAGGAUAAGGUCUUCGGAUUGUAAACUCCUGUCAUGCGUGAACAAGGUUGCUUGGAUAAUACCUGAGCAAAUUGAUGGUAGCGCAAGAGGAAGAGACGGCUAACUCUGUGCCAGCAGCCGCGGUAAUACAGAGGUCUCAAGCGUUGUUCGGAAUCACUGGGCGUAAAGGGUGCGUAGGUGGCGUGGCAAGUCAGAUGUGAAAGCCGGGGGCUCAACCUCGGAACGGCAUCCGAUACUGCCAUGCUAGAGUACUGGAGGGGUGACUAGAAUUCUCGGUGUAGCAGUGAAAUGCGUAGAUAUCGAGAGGAAUACCAAAGGCGUAGGCAGGUCACUGGACAGUUACUGACACUGAGGCACGAAGGUCAGGGGAGCGAACGGGAUUAGAUACCCCUGUAGUCC
rnacentral:rRNA from 1 species